rnacentral:rRNA from 1 species
AGGCAAAGGAGCUGGUAUCAGGCACAGAACUCUUGCCCAUGACCCCUAGUCUCACCACACCUCCAAAGGAGCUCAGCAGUGAUAAAAAUUGCUUAUAAGCGCCAGCUUGAAUCAGUUAAAGAAGAUAGAGCCGGCCAACCCGGUGCCAGCCGCCGCGGCUACACCGUAGGGCUCAAAUUGAUAGAAAUCGGCGUUAAGCGUGAUUAGGGGACAUAAAAUUAAAGUUAAACUCGAGCUUAGCUGUGAAAAGCUUGCUACUCAGAAACCCAUAGACGAAAGAUACUCUAAUUAUAUAACCUGAAUACACGACAACUUGGAAACAAACUGAGAUUAGAUACCUCACUAUG